UGUUGGUGCUGCUCAACCCUGCAGCAUCCCGGGAUGUGCGCCCCACACCCAGUGUCCCAGUCCUCACUUCCAGGGCCGGCUUGUCUCUGUCCUUUGUGUUUCUAACACCACCGGCCGCCCUGCGCACUCCCUGAGGUCCUGGUCUCAGUCUGGUUCCAGUGAGCACACCGGAGCUCCGUUUCAGUCUGGUGGCAUGCGUUCCCCUGCUCACAGUCUCAGUCUGCUCUCUCAUGGGUGCCGGUCCGCGAGUCCACCCACUCCCCCGUGCAGGUGGCUACUGCUUCCCGGCACCCAAACGCGACGGCCCCCUCCCCCUUCCGUUUAUCUUUUGAUAUCUGUGUGCGAUUUCAUGGCUCCCUGCCUCGUACCUCAAUACUCAGCACUGGAGAUUCCUUUGUAGAGAUCCAGAUAUAUCUUCCUGCAUCUCAGGCUGCUUCCGUGGAUGUUCAGGCUGGUCUGGUACCUAUCCAACUCGACUCAGGGGACUGGCUGAAAAAGGGGUCCCCUACUGCUCCACAAUCUUAACUCCCCUAUACCAAACCCCUGUUAUUUUGGUUACUGUAGCUUUGCAGCCAGGAAGUGGGAGUCCUCCAUUUUGUUCUUUUUCAAAAUAAGUUUGGCUGUUUGAGGCCCCUGAGAUUCCAUGUGAAUUUUUGGAAAUUCCUAUUUCUGUAAAAUAUUUCCUUCAGAAUUUCAUAGGGAGGCACCUGGCUGGCUCAGUCAGUGGGUCAUGCAACUCCUGAUCUCGAUGUUGUGAGUUUCAGCCCCACGUUGGGUAUAGAGAUUACUUAAAAAUAAAAUCUUUUUAAAAAGUGUUGGGUAACACUGUCAUCUUAACAAUAUUAAGUCUCAUCAUCCAUGAACAUGGGAUGUCUUUCCAUUUAUUUGUGUCCUCUGUAAUUUCUUGCAGCAAUGUUUUAUUGAUUUCCAUAAACAGCCUAUUAUUCACUAAUUAAGUUGAUUCCUAAGUAUUUGAUUCCUUUUUCCUACGUAUUUUAUUCUUUUUAAUGUUAUUGCAAAUGGAAUUGUUUUCCUAAUUUCUUUUUUGGGUACUUCACUGUUAGCGUCAGGAACACAGUGGGGUGUUUUUUUUUAAGAUUUUUUAUAUUUAUUUAUUUGACAGAGAGAGAUAGCCAGCGGGAGAAGGAAUACAAGUAGGGGGAAUGGGAGAGGAAGAAGUAGGCUCCCAGCAGAGCAGGGAGCCCAAUGCAGGGCCCAAUCCCAGGACCCUGUGAUCAUGCCCUGGGCCGAAGGCAGAAGCUUAACGACUGAGCCACCCAGGCACCCCAGGAACACAGUGAUACUUGUAUGUUAACUUUGUAGCCUGCAAAAUUGUUGAAAUUGUUUAUUAGUUCAGCAAUUUUUUGUGGAAUCUUCAGGAUGUUGUACAUAAAGUUCAUGUCAUCUGUAAGCAGACAUGAUUGUACUUAUUCUUUCCAAUUUCAUUAUAUUCUGUGUUUUUUUUUCUCCUAACUAUUUUGGACUGGACUUCUGUACUGUGUUGCAUACAUGUGGUGAGAGUGGCAUGUUUAUCUUCUACCCAAUCUUAGAAGAAAGGUCUUCAGUGUUUGAUCAUGGAGUAUGAUCCUGGCUCUGGGCAUUUCAUGGAAGGCCUUCAUUAUGUUGCAGUAGUUUCCUUCUAUUUGUAAGGGUGUCAGUAUUCUCUAUACAGUAACCUCUUCUCUACAGAAGUAUUUCACCAUGAGUGUCAAUUCACAGAUAUGGAAGUAAGAGUCUUCUUCAGAGUGGGAAAUCCUGUAGACUGAAAACUCUUUGAUUCCUAAGGUAAUGAAGACAGGCAGGCGGCUCUUAUUCCCUAGUAAAUUUUAACAGUGUAAAUGACUUCCCUACUUUACAUGAAGCUGCCUUGGACACAGAGAUAGAAGGGCUGUGAGUCUUCCUCCCCAACAUAUUGGAAAGGUAUAUAUGGAAUGAGGCCUGAUCUUUCAAAGUCACAGAAGUUCAAGAAAAUCACACAGAAGUCCAUGGGAAAGAAUUCCCCCUGAUAAUGAGGCUGCUGGCCAUGUGGGCUAAGAGGUUCCUGGUGCUGAUACUACAGAGAUGUCCAGGCAGAGCAGACACAUGACUGAGGGUCAGAGGGGGAGGUACAGCCCUCUCCUUACAGAUCAUCACCUAAACAAAGACACUCAGCCUUCUGCAGACAGCAAUCCUCUGAGGCACCUUUGCAGAGCUUGCUGGGACCCUCGGAAAGGCUGCCAUCUCAGAGGAAGGAUGUGGCCCCAGUACAAGCCGAUUCUCAUUCCAUCACCUCCUGUGUUUCUCCACAGAGCCAGUGGCUCAGCCCUUUGUCCAGGCCUACAACACCACAGUCACAGAACAUAAGGACUCUGUGGUCCUGACCUGCUCCACAUAUAAUCCUGGGGUCUCCAUCCACUGGUUCUUCAAUGGUCAGAGUCUAAAGCUCAUGGAGAGGAUGAAGCUGUUGCAGGAAAACAGCACCCUCACCAUAGACCCUGUCGGAGGGAGGAUGCAGGGAAUUAGAGUGUAAGGUCUCCAACCUGGUCAGUUGCAGCAAAAAUGACCCCAUCAGGCUGGAUGUGAGAUGUGAGUGACCCUCAACCCCUGCCCCAUCCCCCCUAUAUAUUUUACUGGCAGGCCUACAGGAGGUGGGAGCCUCCUUCAGAGCCUCUAGGUUACUGUGGAUAAAAUUCCCCAGAAUUAGAUGAAUCUUGUUAGCAUCUUGGUUCUGAUAUGUACCAGCUGUUGGACCUCGGGCAAUAUGCUCAAACUCCUGAACCUCAGUUUCCUCAUCUCUAAAACUGGAAAGAAAGCUGGAUCUCACAGCUGUUGUGAGGGUUGUUAAUAUGAAUUCAUGAGAUAGAUUCCUGAGACAGCAUCAUUCACAGAUUCAGGCUCAAUGAAAUUUAGCAGCUAUUGUUUUUUUGUUAUUAAUGUUUUUUUACUAGCUGUAAUGUAAUUAGGGAAUUCGAUUUAAGCGUUUUCAUGAUCUAACUCUGUGAUCUCCACUGAUUUACUGAAGCCCUUUACACACUCAGAUGCUCAUUUGGCAAAGUGGAGAUCACAGCCAGCCCCCUCGUGGAUGUAACGCGUUCCCCACGUGCCUGGCACAGAGCCGACCUUGAAAGCAGUCAGCUGACAUUAUUCUCUUUAAUCAGUGAGGAGUGCACAGGUAAGGGCCUCCCUCUAAGACCAUCAAUGGUGAUGGAACAGAAGACACAUGGAAGAGGCAUCAUGUGAGAGGAAAAUAAACAGGAUACCAGUGCUGUCCCCAAGUGUGUCAGGUGACAUUGUGAAGAUUAAAGCAAGCCCAGGGUUUCACUGUGAGGAACAAAAAUGGUGUAGUGGCCAAGGGGAUGGGACACUGUGGUGACAACACACACCAGUCAGACCUCAAGGCCUUUCUUCCUCACUAACCAGGCCCUUUACCCAUGGCCCCUCCGGGUUUCCCAAGAUUUGACUUGGGACUCAUUCCCAUCCUUUUUUCUUCUUCAUUCAGAUACAAGAAGCACCAUAGGUCUCCCUGUGGGGUCCAUCAUUGGCAUUGCAGUCGGGGUUCUGGUCGGACUGGCACUGACAGUUGCCCUGGGGUGUUUCCUGCUCCGCAUAAGGACUGGAAGGGCCAGUGGCUGGAGUGAUCUCAGAGAGCUCUGGGGCCCGGCAUCCACCCCCCGCCCUGCUCCAGCCAGCAGCUCCACAUCCCCGGACUCCCUGCCCAGCCCCACCACAGCCAUUCCUAUCUACCAGGAAUUACAACAGCCCGACGCAAACAUUUACUGCAAGAUUAACCACAAAGCAGAAAUGGCUUCUUAGUUUCCCAAGUGCCUGGGGCGCCCUGAGACCCAGGACUCUAGCGGGGUCAGGAGCUGAAGUCGGAACCAUAGAACCAGCUCUAGGCCCUGAGGAUAUUCAGAGACAUUGACCAAGGGUUGGGCUUUUCACCAGCCUUCUCUAUAAAUUGCUGGUGGGCAGCCUGGACUUCGUCAUCAGACAGUGGAGUCACUUCCUGCAGUGAUGCCCACAGCACCCCCCUGCCCUACGUGAUGGAGACAGAGGCCAGUCCACACUCCCUGCAGCCCUCUCUACCUCUCCCUUGUUCAUAAUGCUCCUUGUUAAGAAUGGAGAAAAAGUAGACACAACUGGAACAUCAUGGCUCCCAAGACCUGGGAGCAGCUGGGGGUCAUCAGCACCACGGACAGGGUCUCAUCGAGUUGAGCAGGGAGGAGGCAUUGAGGGACUGCUGGAGAGGCUGCCCAUUUCUGUUCUACAGAAAAAAGAUGCAAUGAGGCAGAAUGCUAUCACAAGGACAACCCAGUUCUGCUCUCAUGUGAAUCAUAAACCCUUUGCGCAUGUCUGGAUGUUACUUGUUGUCACAUCAACAGCAGCUCCCUGCAUGGCUGAUUGCUGCCCCCAGAGGGUGGCCUCAGGGAGUCUCGGAGUCUGCUCCAGCCUCUUGGGGAACCUUCUGACCCCUGAGAGUCAGGCCCCUCUCUUGUCUACAAUAAGGAAGACAUGUUUCAUGAUUAACUUCUGACCCUUGGUGCCUGACCUUGGAAACACACCCAUCACCCAGACUGGAGCACCCCUGAGCACAGCCUCCUGUUUCCCAAGCCCCAGCUGACCCCCUAGGCAGCAUGGCUCAGCAGAACCCUGGGCUGUUCUCCCAGCUCCUCCUUGCUGAGCCCUGUGCCUGGAGUCAGAAUCCUUUGCCAUCUGCCUGCCCUUCCCAGCAGAGCAGACCUUCCACCCAAGGGACAAGUGGGGCCUGAAGAUUUCCCCGGGGAGAAUCCAACAUCUGAGGGUUCCUACAUCUGCCUGUGACCCCUCAGAGGAAGAGAACACACUAGGGCCCGCACUGUCACCCCCAUCUUUCUCUUUCCCAUCCCACCCACAGAACCAACUCUGAUGCUGCAGACCAGCCCUGCCCUUCCAGGGGGCUCGGGUCCAUUCUGUCCACUCACAGUGGCCAACAGAAUGGCCACCUGGGUGUUCUUACUGUUACAAUUUAUUUCUUUCUGCUUUUAAUUCACUUUGCUCUUAUUUUCCUAGGUAUUGUGGUAAGAACUUAGAUUAUUGAGAUAUUUCCUCUUCUGUAACGUAAGCAUUUCAUGCUACAAAUUCCCCUCUCAGCGCAGCAUAAUUUGCAUCCCACAAAUGGUGGAGAUUUGUUUUUAACAUAUAUAAUUUAACUCUGUGUAUUUUUAAAAUUUCCCUUGAGAC